UAUUCUUAUCUGUGGAGAUCUAGAUCUUGAUUUGAAAGUUUCUGAGAAAAUCUUCAGCUCAGACUUGAGGGUCAACUUUACCAGCUGAAGGAUCUGCAUUUACUGCUCAACCACAUCUAAUUUGAUGUCCUCUGCAGAUUUAAAAUGUGUGCCUUCUUUUCCGUCACCAAGUCAUCCCUGGGUUACUACUGAACAUCCUUCUCAAUUCCCCCCGACCCAUGGAUGGCUGUUCUCCAUUGUCUGUUUCACCAGAUGUCCUCAAAACAAACAGACAGAAGAAGGAAGUGGCUAAUGGUCACUUAAUACUCAAAGACUGCAAAUUCCUUUCCUACUGCUGAUGUGGAAGAAGCUUGGAAACAUGUUCCUUUCCAGGAGAUAAGUGAUACGGCAGAAAGACGGGUCAGAUGAGGCCAAGGGAUUGGAGCCAGAGUCUUACCAAACUCGCAGGCAGCUUGUGACUGCGGGCAUGCUGUGCUGAUGGAGGAGGGGAGGCCUGGGGGCUCCAUGCUGUCGGGAUUCCUCCCUUGAUAAACAGAGUCAAGGAGCUGUGGAGUCCAAGUGUGACUGCCAAGAGGAAUCCAGCAAAGCCAAAAAGCCCAAGCAUGUAGCCCUGCCCGAAGCACGCCACACGCAUGGAAAACCCAGAGGAAAUGAGUGAGGAUCAAUGGGAAGAAGAGAGCCAGCCAGGUUCGAUGCCUUCUCCAUCCGUCAGUGAGGGUGUGGAGAGCCUGCAGGCGUGUGCCUCCCUCUGUAACUUGCUAUUCCUUGUGUAAUGUCAAGUGGAAGUGUGAAGCACCACAAACUGCUCUGAGCAGAGCCCACUUCCCUUCACCCACGGAGAGCGUGAAGCAGUUACACCAACAUCAAUCAAGGAAAACCCACAGGCUGAGCUCACACGGUUGAAGCAGGAAGUUGAAGAUUUGUCCAGGAGCAGAUAGCUGAAGAGAGAGAGAGAGAAGAGAGAACGGCUUACAGCUCAGGUCCUCUCUCCAUGCUUAGGAACCACUACAAAUGCUACUGCCUUGAGUCUCAUUUUGUUUCCCUCUGGAAACCACAUGUGUACCUUGUUUGCAACAGUAUGGGCUCACAGGCAGAAGGAAUUUUCCUUGUCUUGGAUGAGACUUUUGACUUGGACUUUUGGGUUAAGGAUUUACAGAAAGCGUGGUGCUGGCAUCUGAUCAGCUUCUGGGGUGGCCUCAGGAAGCUUACAAUCAUGGUGGCAUUUGAAGUGGAAGCGAGAGAGAGAAGAGGAGAUGCAACACACUUUUAAACAAGAUUUCAGGAGAACUCAUUCACUAUGUUCUGGAGACCAGAAGGCCAAAAUCAAAAGUAUGGGCAGGCUUGAUUUCUUUAGAAGACUCCAGCGGAGAACUGUGUCUCCUUGCUUCUGAUUCUACAUCUCCAUCCAUGGGCCACUGUUUCAGCAACCUCAGCCAGUGCAACACAACCUCAGCCAAGAAGAGUAUGCAGAGAAAGGAGUCCCCUACCUGCCACAAAACUGUUGUCUGAAAACUGUCUCAUAUUGUCUCAAGUUGUCAUUCAUUGUGAAUUAGACCUGUUUAACAUGUAAUCU
rnacentral:lncRNA from 1 species